UGUAUUAUUAAAAUUCCUAUUAACAAAUAAAAUUCUAACAAUAAGAUAUCUUCUAAAGUAGAAGAUAUCUUAUGCUUUUAUAUUUAACCAGGAUAAAAAGCGAAAGGUAAUUUAGCAGAGAAGAAAACUACGUUAGAAAAAGUGUACGAUUCAGCGGUGGAACUUUUUUAGUAUGAUAACUCACAGAGGAAGAUUUAAAAUCGCGGCCUCGCGUUCGCUACAGUUUCAUUAAAAAAUCAUGAUGUUUAAUUACCACGGCAACAGAUUGCAUAAGAUUGACCCUCUAACGUGCAGCACGAAGAGGAACGCGUGCAAUGGUUGAGCCUCAGGAUAAACUGCUGGAAAGCAUGUCGAGGGAAAAGAAAAAGGGAGACGUGAACCGGCACCUGCUACCUCGAAGACUCAGAGAAAUGGCCUGUCGUCUUCCGACUGACAAAGAUGAAUUCCGCUCGUAAAGAAGAGAAAAGAGAAUGAUAGACAGAGGAGACAUAAUUGUGUCCCGUGACAAUAAAACUCUAAUAUCCGGCCGUGGAAACGAGGUGUGAGCAAUGCGAAGCUGACUUUUUCCAGCGAGAAUGUGGGAGAAUUGGGAACAGGGAGCAGAAAGCGGAAGGAAAUUGGCGGUCAGUCAUCGAGUUUCCCGAAAGAUCACGCCAUCACGAAGUUUUUCGAUGAUCCAUGAUAUUUCAGUCAGUUUCUCGAUUCACCGACAGUGUUACAAAGUGUUAGAAAACUGUUUUGUGAGUAAUACAGAUUAUAUAGUUAAAAAUAGAUAAUAAAAAUAAAAUGACGUACAGGUGCUAACGAAAGUAUACUGAAUAGAUGUGAAUAU